UACGUAGGUGGCGAGCGUUAUCCGGAUUUAUUGGGCGUAAAGCGUGCGCAGGCGGUUUGUUAAGUCUAAAAUUAAAGCCCGAAGCUUAACUUCGGUUCGUUUUAGAAACUGGCAGGCUAGAGUGUGGUAGAGGCAAAUGGAAUUUCUAGUGUAGCGGUAAAAUGCGUAGAUAUUAGAAGGAACACCAGUGGCGAAGGCGAUUUGCUGGGCCACCACUGACGCUCAUGCACGAAAGCGUGGGGAGCAAAUAGG
rnacentral:rRNA from 1 species